ensembl:lncRNA
GAUAAUUCUCAUUUUGGAAAGAAGCUGAAGCACUGUGGUAUCAAAUCCUAUUUCAAGAAAUAGAAGGAGAAAACAACAAAACAACAUGACUACUACCUCUGCCUCCAAUCCCUAAUGGAACUUGAGAUCCACAACGUGUCACCUAUAAAGUUGAGGGAAGAAGCAGAGAUGUAAAUGAAGAGUUUUAUAUAUUAUUGAAGACCAUUACCAGAUGAUUUUAUAUAUCUGCCAAGGAAGAAUGUGUGUUCCCAUGUGAGGAAUUUCCACAAUAAAAUUCUGGCACCACAGCCGAAGAGGAUAGUUUUAUAGAAACGGAGGAAAACAACAGCAAGUAUUUUCCCUGAGGAC